UUAGAGGCGGGGGCUCCUCUGCGAAGCAGCCCCCAGCCCCAGGCCGCCCGGUGCUUCCGGCGCCGCCCCAGUUUUCCUAACUGCUGCAAAACACCGGGCGCGGGCGGGGUGGUCUGCGCGAAGAAGGGAAAUGACCUUCAAGGUCAGAAGCAAACCUUGGUUUCGACCCUCAGCUGGAAACUGCAUUGGAGUCGCUGUCGCUAAUGCCUUACAAGGCUAAUUAUCAGUUGGGCUGCUUUUGGCUGCAAAUAACAGAAGACUUAAAAUGGCUUAAACAAUAAGGUUUUUUAUUGUUUCACAUAACAAGAAGCCUCCAAGUAUUACCGUGUCAUCAAGUAUCCAGGCUUUUGGUUGCUAAAGCUGUAGGCAUCAUGUCUGCACGAAACCAUGUUCAAAUGGGGGAAGUAGUUAAGUGUGUCUUGUAUGAAAUUUGACUCUUCGUGGACACCUUGAUGGUAAGCCUAGACCUCUCUGGGUGUGAGGGGGAAGGGUUUCCUGAAGAGUGACCUUAUUCUUCCAUCAGCCACCCAGAAGAGAGACACGGCUGACUUUCUCAAUCUCUGGAUCUCUGCGUGGCCAUGGUGUAAGGCGCUCUGAAGAGAAAUCCCAAGACUACACCAGAGGGAAGAGCGUCUCCUACCCCAUGUAUUCUCCAGGUUUUUGAGCAUCUUUUUGAUAAAGCCUCGCUUCAAUUCCCUUUUUCCUGCCUCCUCUGCUCACUUUUGUCCAUUUCUCUUGAUCCUGGUUUCGUAUGCUGGGAUCACAGUGCAUUGGCUGGCCAAGGAGGCAUUGAGGAAGUGUUGUAUCUCCUCAAGGUGUUCCCCACAGUGGGUAAUGGGAGAAACGGUCACCGUCCUUCUGAGUCAUCGGGAUGUGGCUACAGUCACACUUACAAUUCUACUAUUGCUACAGCAUUCGGGGCCUGGAAAAUUUCCUCCCAUGUGUUGUUACGACAUUACAGUUAACUCCUGCAAGGUCUCCCAAUUAAUGGGGGACAUUUGUGAUCCACUAAACAUCACCAAGAUAUCCACUGAUCUAUUUGAGAAAUUUGGUAGUUGGGGACCUUAAUCUACUCACAAUUUGGAGCUAUAACUUGUUUCACGUUUCUCCUCUCGCACGUGCUGACGCAUGUGCCAUUUGCCGGCCAUCGUGCCCCCUGGAACCAUACCGUAAGCCCCUGGACCGACUCCUGGAUUGAUUCUAACUGCCUCACCGCCCACCGCCCCAUUUCAGCAGGAAGCAGCCCGAGUGGUCACGGCUCCCGCCCCCGACAGGAGUCCUUACUGUUCCGGGGGCAGGAGGAGGGAGGAUCAGGCGGGGCUAGGUAGGGAGAGAGAGAAAGGGGGCUAUGUGAUCAGGCUCACAGAAAUCCCAAAAAAGUGGAGGUGUGGGGAAACCAGAGAGAAGAGGACAGACCGGAUCACCCUCCCCUAAGCAUGUGAGGACCCAUACCUUGCAGCGGGAGUGAAAUUGAGGAGGAGCCUACAAUUUGUAAACUACAGACCAGAGGCUUCGUCUUGUAGACCUGAGCCCUCUUACUCCUGUCUCCAUCACGCCUCCCUACCCCCACUCCUGGCUUAAAAGAUAAUGGUUCUAAACAGUGUGGAGAUUCCUCAAGAAAUUAAAAGUGGAGCUUCCCUAUGACCCUGCAAUUGCACUACUGGGUA